rnacentral:rRNA from 1 species
GACGGAGGAUGCAAGUGUUAUCCGGAAUCACUGGGCGUAAAGCGUCUGUAGGUGGUUUAAAAAGUCCACUGUUAAAAAUUGAAGCUUAACUUCAAAGAUGCCGUGGAAACUUUUAAACUUGAGGAUGAUAGGGGUAGAGGGAAUUUCCAGUGGAGCGGUGAAAUGCGUAGAUAUUGGAAAGACCACCAAUGGCGAAGGCACUCUACUGGGCCAUUACUGACACUGAGGGACGAAAGCUAGGGGAGCGAAUGGG